GAUGAACGCUAGCGGCGUGCCUAAUACAUGCAAGUCGAGCGAACAGAUGAGGAACUUGCUCCUCUUACUUUAGCUGCGGACGGGUGAGUAACACGUGGACAACCUACCUAUAAGACUGGGAUAACUUCGGGAAACCGGAGCUAAUACCGGAUAAUAUAUUUAACCGCAUGAUUCAAUAGUGAAAGACGGUUUUGCUGUCACUUAUAGAUGGAUCCGCGCCUCAUUAGCUAGUUGGUAAGGUAACGGCUUACCAAGGCGACGAUGCGUAGCCGACCUGAGAGGGUGAUCGGCCACACUGGAACUGAGACACGGUCCAGACUCAUACGGGAGGCAGCAGUAGGGAAUCUUCCGCAAUGGGCGAAAGCCUGACGGAGCACCGCCGAGUGAGUGAUGAAGGUCUUCGGAUCGUAAAACUCUGUUAUUAGGGAAGAACAAAUGUGUAAGUAACUAUGCACGUCUUGACGGUACCUAAUCAGAAAGCCACGGCUAACUACGUG
rnacentral:rRNA from 1 species